GACGAACCGUGCGAACGUUAUUCGGAAUCAUUGGGCUUAAAGAGCGCGUAGGCGGCGACGUAAGUUGGAAGUGAAAUCCCAUCGGCUCAACCGUGGAAUCGCUCCCAGUACUGCGUUGCUCGAGGGAGAUGAGGGCCUGUGGAACUGCCGGUGGAGCGGUGAAAUGUGUUGAUAUCGGCGGGAACGCCAGUGGCGAAAGCGACAGGCUGGACCUUUUCUGACGCUGAGGCGCGAAAGCUAGGGGAGCAAACGGG
rnacentral:rRNA from 1 species